rnacentral:lncRNA from 12 species
ACUUAACCAACUGAACCACCUAGGUGCCCAAGAUAAUGGCAUUUCUGAAAGAGGAGGAAAUUCCUACAGAAAUCAAGGGAGAAUGCUUCUUUGAGGCUUAUCUGUUGAUCACCUACCAUGUGCCAGACACAACUGGAUAGUGUGAGAAUGUAUGAAUUGCAAGCUUCACCAG